rnacentral:rRNA from 1 species
AUUGAACGCUGGCGGCGGGCCUAACACAUGCAAGUCGAGCGGAUGAAGGGAGCUUGCUCCUGGAUUCAGCGGCGGACGGGUGAGUAAUGCCUGGGAAUCUGCCUGGUAGUGGGGGAUAACGUCCGGAAACGGGCGCUAAUACCGCAUACGUCCUGAGGGAGAAAGUGGGGGAUCUUCGGACCUCACGCUAUCAGAUGAGCCUAGGUCGGAUUAGCUAGUUGGUGGGGUAAAGGCCUACCAAGGCGACGAUCCGUAACUGGUCUGAGAGGAUGAUCAGUCACACUGGAACUGAGACACGGUCCAGACUCCUACGGGAGGCAGCAGUGGGGAAUAUUGGACAAUGGGCGAAAGCCUGAUCCAGCCAUGCCGCGUGUGUGAAGAAGGUCUUCGGAUUGUAAAGCACUUUAAGUUGGGAGGAAGGGCAGUAAGUUAAUACCUUGCUGUUUUGACGUUACCAACAGAAUAAGCACCGGCUAACUUCGUG